rnacentral:rRNA from 1 species
GCAGUCGAGCGAACCGAUGGAGUGCUUGCAUUCCUGAGGUUAGCGGCGGACGGGUGAGUAACACGUAGGCAACCUGCCUGUACGACCGGGAUAACUCCGGGAAACCGGAGCUAAUACCGGAUAGGAUGCCGAACCGCAUGGUUCGGCAUGGAAAGGCCUUUGAGCCGCGUACAGAUGGGCCUGCGGCGCAUUAGCUAGUUGGUGGGGUAACGGCCUACCAAGGCGACGAUGCGUAGCCGACCUGAGAGGGUGAACGGCCACACUGGGACUGAGACACGGCCCAGACUCCUACGGGAGGCAGCAGUAGGGAAUCUUCCGCAAUGGACGAAAGUCUGACGGAGCAACGCCGCGUGAGUGAGGAAGGUCUUCGGAUCGUAAAACUCUGUUGUCAGGGAAGAACCGCCGGGAUGACCUCCCGGUCUGACGGUACCUGACGAGAAAGCCCCGGCUAACUACGUGCCAGCAGCCGCGGUAAUACGUAGGGGGCAAGCGUUGUCCGGAAUUAUUGGGCGUAAAGCGCGCGCAGGCGGCUUCUUAAGUCAGGUGUGAAAGCCCACGGCUCAACCGUGGAGGGCCAUCUGAAACUGGGGAGCUUGAGUGCAGGAGAGGAGAGCGGAAUUCCACGUGUAGCGGUGAAAUGCGUAGAGAUGUGGAGGAACACCAGUGGCGAAGGCGGCUCUCUGGCCUGUAACUGACGCUGAGGCGCGAAAGCGUGGGGAGCAAACAGGAUUAGAUACCCUGGUAGUCCACGCCGUAAACGAUGAGUGCUAGGUGUUGGGGAGUCCACCUCCUCAGUGCCGCAGCUAACGCAAUAAGCACUCCGCCUGGGGAGUACGGCCGCAAGGCUGAAAC